rnacentral:misc_RNA from 1 species
GAUGAAGAACGCAGCGAAAUGCGAUAAGUAGUGUGAAUUGCAGAAUUCAGUGAAUCAUCGAAUCUUUGAACGCACAUUGCGCCCCUUGGUAUCCCGAGGGGCAUGCCUGUUCGAGCGUCAUUUCACCACUCAAGCCUGGCUUGGUGUUGGGCGACGUCCUCUUUGGGGACGCGCCUCGAAACGCUCGGCGGCGUGGCACCGGCUUUAAGCGUAGCAGAAUCUUUCGCUUUGGAAGUCGGGGCCCCGUCUGCCGGAAGACCUGCUCGCAAGGUUGACCUCGGAUCAGGCAGGGAUACCCGCUGAACUUAAGCAUAUCAAAAGCGGAGGA